GUGCCUGUGGCUCAGAAGGGUAGGGCGCCGGUCCCAUAUGCCGGAAGUGGCGGGUUCAAACCCAGCCCUGGUGCC
rfam:Otolemur garnettii contig068819, whole genome shotgun sequence.